AUGUAAACGCUCUCUUUGUGAUGUUGCCAAAGGGCACGAUGACACACGCUUAAAUGUGAAAGAAACGAGGAAGAGGAACGUCUACAAAAGAGUAAAUCCCAAGACGAGACCGCCUCAGUCUGAGCUGCUCCACAGGGGCGCAGCGGGUCAUGUGGCCUGUUCAGUGCAUCAUUGAGGUUGUGAAACUACCUGUUAAAGCUCCCACACUGCCACAUCACACCCACUUUACCAUCUGAGGGAAACCAUCCUGUCGACACUUUGAAAGUCUGGAAAUCACAACUCAGCUGCUCUGCUGAAGGUGUUUUCUGAAAAGGGUGUAACCCAGCAGUGCACAGCACACUCUGAAAACCAGAGGUACAGGAGGAGAGAUCCUGAGGGAGCUGAAGAAAAGCCUGACAUUAAAAACCACACAACUUCUCUGCGUUAAAAGGUCCUCCUGGGUUCACACCUGGAUUGCCACCUGAAUUUUUAAAAGUUUCUUUUUGAGCUGAAACAGCCCUGUCUUAAUCAUCCAUACUUUUGUGUUUUUCUCAAACACUUUAUUGCUCUAUUUGCUUAACAGCUGCUAAAGUUACUUUCAAGAUAAAGAUUUGAUUUGCAAAAUACAAUAAUCUAAAAUGUACUGCAUACUACAUAAAAAUAUAUUAAAAGCUUGCAAGUAUCCUACAAAAACCAUAA